GCUGUAACGGAGACCUAGCUUCUCUGGAGGGGUUGCCAAAGGGGAUUAAAUACCCUGGUAACCCGCCUGGUAGCGGGGGAUGCUAUGUGUAAACACCCUUUCCGGGGUUUAAUGAGUAAAUGUUGGCUGACAUUUGUCCGCCAGGGGAGUUUGACUCCCUAGCUGAUGCACCUGUGAUGUGUUAGAUUCUUGGUGGGGUUCCGGCUCACCAAGGCGACGAUACAUAGCCGACCUGAGAGGGUGAUCGGCCACACUGGGACUGAGACACGGCCCAGACUCCUACGGGAGGCAGCAGUAGGGAAUCUUCGGCAAUGGACGGAAGUCUGACCGAGCAACGCCGCGUGAGUGAAGAAGGUUUUCGGAUCGUAAAGCUCUGUUGUAAGAGAAGAACGAGUGUGAGAGUGGAAAGUUCACACUGUGACGGUAUCUUACCAGAAAGGGACGGCUAACUACGUGCCAGCAGCCGCGGUAAUACGUAGGUCCCGAGCGUUGUCCGGAUUUAUUG
rnacentral:rRNA from 1 species